ACGGGGUGCAGCAGGCGCGAAACCUCCACAAUGCACGCAAGUGCGAUGGGGCUACCUCGAGUGCCGUCUGAAGAAGGCGGCUUUUCCACGGUGUAAUGAGCCGUGGGAAUAAGAGGGGGGCAAGACUGGUGUCAGCCGCCGCGGUAACACCAGCCCCUCGAGUGGUGGGGAUGAUUAUUUGGCCUAAAGCGUCCGUAGCCGGCUCGGUAAGUCUCUCGUUAAAUCCAGCGUCCCAAGCGCUGGGCUGCGAGGGAGACUGCCGAGCUAGAGGGUGGGUGAGGUCAGCGGUAUUCCUGGGGUAGGGGCGAAAUCCAUUGAUCCCAGGGGGACCACCAGUGGCGAAGGCGUCCGACCAGAACGGACCUGACGGUGAGGGGCGAAGGCUAGGGGAGCGAACGGGAUUAGAUACCCCGGUAGUCCUAGCUGUAAAGCAUGCGGGCCAGGUGUCUAGCGCUCCUUGAGGGCGCUAGGUGCCGGAGGGAAGCCGUUAAGCCCGCCGCCUGGGAAGUACGGCCGCAAGGCUGAAACUUAAAGAAAUUGGCGGGGGAGCACCACAAGAGGUGGGACCUGCGGUUCAAUUGGAUUCAACGCCGGAAAACUCACCAGGGGCGACAGCUGGUUGACGGCCAGAUUGACGAUCUUGCCCGACUAGCUGAGAGGUGGUGCAUGGCCAUCGUCAGCUCGUACCGUGAGGCGUCCUGUUA
rnacentral:rRNA from 1 species